rnacentral:tRNA from 1 species
GCCCUCGUGGCGUAGUGGUCAGCACUUUCGACUCGUAUUCGAGAGGUCCAUGGUUCGAGUCCCGGUGAGAGCA